AGGAACUGGCUCUUCUAAUUCGUAAACCCCCUCCGAACCGGUCGCUGAUGCGACGUCGCUCGUCAACAAAAAGUUUGUUCUUGUGGCGAUGGUCGCAACUGCACAUCCAAUGAGAAGCUCUCUUUCUCUGACAUCAUCAGCGGUACACUCAAAUGGCUACAAGCAUAGUAUGGAACGCUGAACGAGAAUGCAGAUUAAUAGAGUUGAUUAACGAAAGGGAAUGCCUGUGGGAUUUUAAUUCGGAUUUUAUUUUCGUCUUUCCGAUCUGUCCAUCUUGUAACUUGUAUUUGAAUAAGACGCGUCAGGUCUUACUUCAUUGCUUAACCAAGUCAGCCAUUGCUACAAUUUUAUUGGCUAAAAGUGUAGAUUAGUGCUUCAGCGGUAACUACAGUGUGACCACGAACAGUCAAGUGCAACAAGCGACUUCUUGCGGUCGCGGUCGCGGCUAAAAAUCGCAAGGUGUGACCGCCGCUUAAGAGAAAUGCUGUUUGUAAUAUCUUCUGAGUGUCACCGUAUUUUUUUUUUUUAUGUGGAUUUAGUAAUAAUCUUAUUUGACCAGGCGUAAAUAACUUUCUAAGUAUUCUAGUGAGUUUUAGAGAGAGAGAGUUUCACACUUUUCUUUUAAUCUGCAGUUUUCAUUCUUUAACUUUUGAUUUUCAGAUUUAAGGAAAUCAAUUUCUGCCUUCAUUCUGAACAUUUCCUCAACG
rnacentral:lncRNA from 1 species